rnacentral:rRNA from 2 species
ACAGGGAUUGCCCUAGUAACGGCGAGUGAAGCGGCAACAGCUCAAAUUUGAAAUCUGGCGUCUUCGGCGUCCGAGUUGUAAUUUGCAGAGGGCGCUUUGGCAUUGGCAGCGGUCCAAGUUCCUUGGAACAGGACGUCACAGAGGGUGAGAAUCCCGUACGUGGUCGCUAGCCUUUACCGUGUAAAGCCCCUUCGACGAGUCGAGUUGUUUGGGAAUGCAGCUCUAAAUGGGAGGUAAAUUUCUUCUAAAGCUAAAUACUGGCCAGAGACCGAUAGCGCACAAGUAGAGUGAUCGAAAGAUGAAAAGCACUUUGGAAAGAGAGUUAAAAAGCACGUGAAAUUGUUGAAAGGGAAGCGCUUGCAGCCAGACUUGCCUGUAGUUGCUCAUCCGGGUUUUUACCCGGUGCACUCUUCUACAGGCAGGCCAGCAUCAGUUUGGGCGGUUGGAUAAAGGUCUCUGUCACGUACCUCUCUUCGGGGAGAACUUAUAGGGGAGACGACAUGCAACCAGCCUGGACUGAGGUCCGCGCAUCUGCUAGGAUGCUGGCGUAAUGGCUGUAAGCGGCCCGUCUUGAAACACGGACCAAGGAGUCUAACAUCUAUGCGAGUGUUUGGGUGUCAAGCCCGAGCGCGUAAUGAAAGUGAACGGAGGUGGGAACCCCUCGGGGUGCACCAUCGACCGAUCCUGAUGUCUUCGGAUGGAUUUGAGUAAGAGCAUAGCUGUUGGGACCCGAAAGAUGGUGAACUAUGCUUGAAUAGGGUGAAGCCAGAGGAAACUCUGGUGGAGGCUCGCAGCGGUUCUGACGUGCAAAUCGAUCGUCAAAUUUGGGCAUAGGGGCGAAAGACUAAUCGAAC